CCUACGGGGGGCAGCAGUGAGGAAUAUUGGUCAAUGGACGAGAGUCUGAACCAGCCAAGUAGCGUGAAGGAUGACUGCCCUAUGGGUUGUAAACUUCUUUUAUAUGGGAAUAAAAUGUUCCACGUGUGGGAUUUUGUAUGUACCAUAUGAAUAAGGAUCGGCUAACUCCGUGCCAGCAGCCGCGGUAAUACGGAGGAUCCGAGCGUUAUCCGGAUUUAUUGGGUUUAAAGGGAGCGUAGGUGGAUUGUUAAGUCAGUUGUGAAAGUUUGCGGCUCAACCGUAAAAUUGCAGUUGAAACUGGCAGUCUUGAGUACAGUAGAGGUGGGCGGAAUUCGUUGUGUAGCGGUGAAAUGCUUAGAUAUCACGAAGAACUCCGAUUGCGAAGGCAGUUCACUGGACUGCAACUGACACUGAGGCUCGAAAGUGUGGGUAUCAAACAGGAUUAGAUACCCGAGUAGUC
rnacentral:rRNA from 1 species